GGCAGAGGAAGCCCGGUUCCCGUGGCCGCGUCCGCGACUGGGCCGCCGUCCCGGCGGCCGCGCGGGCGCGGCCAUGAGGAAAGUCCCCCCACCUCCGGGCAGGUGACCGGGCGCAAGCCCGGAGCGGGAGACCGCUGGCGCUGGAACAGAAACGAGACCCCCCGCCCCGACCGAUGAGACGCGGGCGGUGGCCCCGCCACCGCCUCGGCGCCCGCGGGCCGCCCGGCCCGCGAGCGCGCGAACCGACCCGCAAGGGAAGGGAGCUAACCCGUCGAGGGCCGGGCGGCUGUGCCGCCGGGCGAACGGCGCGAGCCGUGAGCCGGGUGGCGUCGCCACCCCGACGGGCGGGAACGGGUGGAACGGCGAACCCUCACCGGUGCAAGCCCGCCGCACAGGUAGCCCGGAGUCGCGGCGGGUGCUCAGCCGAAUGCCGGGUCGAAACAGAAGGGGGCUUACUAUCCUCAGCC
rnacentral:RNase_P_RNA from 1 species